GAUAGGGAGAGGACUCAAACCUCUGUGUCUCGGAGCUACAAGCCGCCGCCUUUCUCUCGGCCACCC
rnacentral:tRNA from 1 species